rnacentral:rRNA from 1 species
UGGGGAAUAUUGCACAAUGGGCGCAAGCCUGAUGCAGCCAUGCCGCGUGUGUGAAGAAGGCCUUCGGGUUGUAAAGCACUUUCAGCGAGGAGGAAGGUGGUGAGCUUAAUACGCUCAUCAAUUGACGUUACUCGCAGAAGAAGCACCGGCUAACUCCGUGCCAGCAGCCGCGGUAAUACGGAGGGUGCAAGCGUUAAUCGGAAUUACUGGGCGUAAAGCGCACGCAGGCGGUUUGUUAAGUCAGAUGUGAAAUCCCCGGGCUCAACCUGGGAACUGCAUUUGAAACUGGCAAGCUAGAGUCUCGUAGAGGGGGGUAGAAUUCCAGGUGUAGCGGUGAAAUGCGUAGAGAUCUGGAGGAAUACCGGUGGCGAAGGCGGCCCCCCUGGANGAAGACUGA